rnacentral:misc_RNA from 1 species
CAGCCAUGCGUACGAUCGAGUGCGAGUUCUCCCACUUCGCGGUGCACCCCGGCCACGGCCGCCGGUACGUGCCGUUCGCGUUCCUGUCGACGAAGCCGGUGCUGACCUUCUCGCGGCCGAAGUGCUUCGCACUGUACAUGCGCAAGAAGAACCCGCGCUUCAUUCCGUGGACGCGCACGUACCGCCGCAUCCACCGCAAGACGACGACGGACCGCGUGAACCGCCGCCGCGCCGCGCGCGCGGUGAGGGUGCAGCGCGCGAUCGUCGGUGCGGACCUGUCCUACAUCCAGGAGGUGCGCGCGGCGCGCAAGGAGGACCGCUCCGCCAAGGCCAAGGCCAUCCGCGCGGAGGUGGCCGAGCGCAAGGCCGCCAAGAAGUAGAGCUGCGCCGCCUUUCUUUCCAUGAAGCGAGCCGGGCCUUUCUUGUUGUUUCGUUUGUUUCUGACCAUCAUUUCGUGAGCGUAACAAAAGAAAAAAGACGUGUGUGUGUGUGUGUGUGUGCCGGCAUGGACUUCUUCGCGGCUUCUGCGAAGGAUCCCGCUUCGGUGUUGCGCCGGCAGAAGGCUGCAUCGUCCGAGGCUGAACCACGUGCAAGGGGGUGAGGGGCGCGCGGCGGUUUGCGGAUGCGUCGAAGCAAGCGCCCGCGGUUCCAGUUUUCGCUUCGUGUGCCUCUGCUGUCCCCGCGAGUGCCGUCUUGGACGCCUUUUCCAAUGGUGCGCGGUGUGACAAUCGGAGGCCGUACUCAGCCUCUCCUGCCGGUGCUUCUCUCACCUCGCCUCGUUGGCGCAUGUCGCUGCCUGCAUAUAUAUAUAUAUGUAUGUAUUGGGCUCUCUCCCUUCAAUCUCUCUCUCUUGUAGUGCUCUCUUUUCUUUCCUCUUUCACUGGUCGUUGUCGGCGGUGUGCAAG